AAAGUCCCCCAUGGGGUAAGGACUAGCCAUCCGCCCCGACCCCGAGUGAUGCGCGGCGUCCCGCGAGGGCCGACGUGAAGCGUUCACAGGGGAGACCACGGGCCAAGUAUUGAGCUGCGAAACGGGUCUAAUUCCGAGGUGCCGAUCUUAUUCUGAGAAAGAGAAGGCAACAUCGUCCCAUAGCGAAUGGCUUGCAUGGGAAGAACCUCGCGCAGUCGGAGACCU
rnacentral:ncRNA from 1 species